AUUGAACGCUGGCGGCAGGCCUAACACAUGCAAGUCGAGCGGAAGAAGGGAGCUUGCUCCUGGAUUCAGCGGCGGACGGGUGAGUAAUGCCUAGGAAUCUGCCUGGUAGUGGGGGAUAACGUCCGGAAACGGGCACUAAUACCGCAUACGUCCUGAGGGAGAAAGUGGGGGAUCUUCGGACCUCACGCUAUCAGAUGAGCCUAGGUCGGAUUGGCUAGUUGGUGGGGUAAAGGCCUACCAAGGCGACGAUCCGUAACUGGUCUGAGAGGAUGAUCAGUCACACUGGAACUGAGACACGGUCCAGACUCCUACGGGAGGCAGCAGUGGGGAAUAUUGGACAAUGGGCGAAAGCCUGAUCCAGCCAUGCCGCGUGUGUGAAGAAGGUCUUCGGAUUGUAAAGCACUUUUAGUGGGGAAGAAGGGCAGUAAGUUAAUACCUUGCUGUUUUGACGUUACCAACAGAAUAAGCACCGGCUAACUUCGUG
rnacentral:rRNA from 1 species